rnacentral:rRNA from 1 species
AGUCGAGGGGCAGCACGGUAGCAAUACUGGUGGCGACCGGCAAACGGGUGCGGAACACGUACGCAACCUUCCUUUAAGAGAUGGAUAGCCCGAAGAAAUUCGGAUUAAUACAUCGUAAGAUUGUGGGAUGGCAUCAUCCAGCAAUUAAAGAUUUAUUUCGCUUAAAGAUGGGCGUGCGCCUGAUUAGGUAGUUGGUGAGGUAACGGCUCACCAAGCCGACGAUCAGUAACUGGCGUGAGAGCGCGACCAGUCACACGGGCACUGAGACACGGGCCCGACUCCUACGGGAGGCAGCAGUAAGGAAUAUUGGUCAAUGGACGCAAGUCUGAACCAGCCAUGCCGCGUGAAGGAUGAAAGCCCUCUGGGUUGUAAACUUCUUUUAUCUGGGAAGAAACCACCUUUUUCUAAGGGUGUCGACGGUACCAGAGGAAUAAGCACCGGCUAACUCCGUGCCAGCAGCCGCGGUAAU